rnacentral:miRNA from 1 species
GCUGACACAUCCCGGCCAAUCUCCAGCAGUCCCUCCCUCCCAGACCCUCCCACCUCCUGGACAGCAUCCAUGUUGAAGCUGCCUUCAACAUGGCAGCUUCAACAUGGAUGCUGUCCAGGAGGUGGGAGGGUCUGGGAGGGAGGGACUGCUGGAGAUUGGCCGGGAUGUGUCAG